AGAGUUUGAUCCUGGCUCAGGAUGAACGCUGGCGGCGUGCUUAAUACAUGCAAGUCGAACGGAGAUAGUAGCAAUAUUAUCUUAGUGGCGAACGGGUGAGUAACGCGUUGGUGACCUGCCCCGAAGAGAGGGAUAGCAGUUCGAAAGGACUGAUAAUACCUCAUGUGGUUGUUGGUUUUAGAAUCUGACAACUAAACGGAUUUAUUCGCUUCGGGAGGGGCCUGCGUCCCAUCAGCUAGUUGGUAGGGUAAUGGCCUACCAAGGCGAUGACGGGUAGGGGACCUGAGAGGGUGGCCCCCCACAAUGGAACUGAAACACGGUCCAUACACCUACGGGUGGCAGCAGUAGGGAAUAUUGGUAAUCUGGGAAACCGGGAACCAGCAACGCCGCGUGCGCGAUGAAGGCCUUCGGGUUGUAAAGCGCUUUUAGAAGGGAUGAGGAAGGACAGUACCUUCUGAAUAAGCCUCGGCUAACUACGUGCCAGCAGCCGCGGUAAAACGUAGGAGGCGAGCGUUAUCCGGAUUUACUGGGCGUAAAGCGCGUGUAGGCGGUCUUGUAAGUUGGAUGUGAAAGCUCCUGGCUUAACUGGGAGAGGUCGUUCAAAACUGCAAGACUUGAGAGUGGUAGAGGGAGGUGGAAUUCCGGGUGUAGUGGUGAAAUGCGUAGAUAUCCGGAGGAACACCAGUGGCGAAAGCGGCCUCCUGGACCACUUCUGACGCUCAGACGCGAAAGCUAAGGUAGCAAACGGGAUUAGAGACCCCGGUAGUCUUAGCUGUAAACGAUGUGAACUUGGCGUCGGUGGGUUUAAAUCCAUCGGUGCCGAAGCAAACGCGAUAAGUUCACCGCCUGGGGACUACGGCCGCAAGGUUAAAACUCAAAGGAAUUGACGG
rnacentral:rRNA from 1 species